UAACUGGAGAGUUUGAUCCUGGCUCAGAACGAACGCUGGCGGCAUGCCUAACACAUGCAAGUCGAACGGUAACAGGGGAGCUUGCUCCCGCUGACGAGUGGCGCACGGGUGAGUAACGCGUGGAUACAUGCCUCGAUGUGGGGGACAACAAUACCGCAUAAUCCCUGAGGGGGAAAGGCUUCGGCCGCAUUGAGAGUGGUCCGCGUCGGAUUAGUUAGUUGGUGGGGUAAUGGCCUACCAAGACGACGAUCCGUAGCUGGUCUGAGAAGGUGACCAGCCACACUGGGACUGAGACACGGCCCAGACUCCUACGGGAGGCAGCAGUGGGGAAUAUUGCGCAAUGGGGGAAACCCUGACGCAGCAAUGCCGCGUGAGUGAAGAAGGUCUUCGGAUUGUAAAGCUCUUUCAGCUGGGAAGAUAAUGACGGUACCAGCAGAAGAAGCCCCGGCUAACUCCGUGCCAGCAGCCGCGGUAAUACGGAGGGGGCAAGCGUUGUUCGGAAUCACUGGGCGUAAAGCGUACGUAGGCUGUUUGAUAAGUCAGAAGUGAAAGCCCCGGGCUCAACCUGGGAACUGCUUUUGAAACUGUUAGACUAGAAUCCGGCAGAGGGUGGCGGAAUUCCCCGUGUAGAGGUGAAAUUCGUAGAUAUGGGGAGGAACACCAGAGGCGUAGGCGGCCACCUGGACCGGUAUUGACGCUGAGGUACGAAAGCGUGGGGAGCAAACAGGAUUAGAUACCCUGGUAGUCCACGCCGUAAACGAUGAGUGCUAGUUGUCGGAGGUAUUAACUCCACGUAACGCAGCUAACGCGUUAAGCACUCCGCCUGGGGAGUACGGCCGCAAGGUUAAAACUCAAAGAAAUUGACGGGGGCCCGCACAAGCGGUGGAGCAUGUGGUUUAAUUCGACGCAACGCGCAGAACCUUACCAGCCCUUGACAUGGGGAGCUAUCUCCAGAGAUGGAGAGUUCCUUUCGGGGACGUGCACACAGAUGCUGCAUGGCUGUCGUCAGCUCGUGUCGUGAGAUGUUGGGUUAAGUCCCGCAACGAGCGCAACCCUCGUCCUCAGUUGCCAGCGGUUCGGCCGGGUACUCUGGAGGAACUGCCGGUGACAAGCCGGAGGAAGGUGGGGAUGACGUCAAGUCCUCAUGGCCCUUAUGGGCUGGGCUACACACGUGCUACAAUGGCGGGGACAGUGGGUCGCGACGGCGCGAGCCGGAGCUAAUCCCCAAAAACCGUCUCAGUUCGGAUUGCACGCUGCAACUCGCGUGCAUGAAGGUGGAAUCGCUAGUAAUCGUGGAUCAGCAUGCCACGGUGAAUACGUUCCCGGGCCUUGUACACACCGCCCGUCACACCAUGGGAGUUGGUUUUACCCGAAGCCGGUGCGCGAACCGCAAGGACGCAGCCGACCACGGUAAGGUCAGCGACUGGGGUGAAGUCGGAACAAGGUA
rnacentral:rRNA from 1 species